rnacentral:lncRNA from 1 species
GGUGAGGAUCGGCCAUAUAGAAUGGAAAACGGACAUAGUGAAGGCGGGGAAGGGAUUGUUGAUGAGGAUGAGUACGAAGAGAGUGAUGCUGAUGAAGAAGAGGCAGAAACAGGUAGAAGAGUAAAUGGACAAAGCUACGAGGCUAAUGGUUUUAGGAUUGAGGAAGUAGGGAGAGAUGAUGAUGACGAUGAAGAAGAAGACGAGGAUGAUGAGGGGGAGGAUAAUUAUUCUGGUGCUGAAAUUGAUGAUGAUGAUGAGGAUGAAGAAGAUGUUGUAGAAGUUAAUGAAAUUGGGGAUAGUGAUGAUGAGGAAGAUGGGGUAGAGGAUGACGACGACGAUGAGGAGGAUGAUGAGGAAGAAGAGGUAGAUAAUGAUGAAGGGGAUUUGGCUGAGCCAGAGAGUACGGGGCGGUUGACGAGUACAGAAGGGGAGAUUGAUGGCCAUGAACAUGGAGAAGAUGAUGGGGAUGAUGAGGAUGAUAAUGGUGAGACUGGAG